AAGACGGCUGGGCGCUGAGCAGGGGCGGGGCGCCCUGCGGGUGCACAGGUGCGGCGUCUGCAGCUACUGCGCAGCCUUCCAAACUUAGUGAAGUUUGUACAGUGGUUACGACAAAUUAAGCUAUGAAAAGCUGAUCAAUCCGUCCAUCCAUCCAUCAAACACUGCCUUCCUUUUAGGAGAAAGGAAAUGCAGUCUUCUGGCCAGAGGGCAGUGGGCAAUUCAUAAGUGGCUGUCAUCAAGAAAUCAGCCA